rnacentral:lncRNA from 1 species
UUGAAGAAGUACUUCAAUUCUUCAUAAAGAAGUCAAGAAUAUAAAAUCUUGUUGUCGUAUUGUUUGAUCUUAAACAUUUAAUGUGAAUGCUUACAUAGAUUUCGUCGUAUUGUUUGACAAAGUAUCUAUUAAUUUUAAACCUAAUUAAUUAAAGGCUAAUUAAAGAGCAAGACCCAAAGUGAUCCAAUCACCAAAAAUCCAG